rnacentral:lncRNA from 1 species
AAGCAAGUUCAUCCUAGAUUGUGACUUACUAAGAGAAGAGACCCCAGCAGCAAAAGCCUGUACGGUGAGUUAUGUAGGAAAUAAGGAGACUGGAAGAGGUCUACAGGAGUCGAUUUCCUAUGAAAGGAGGUUGUGCAAUGAAGAGACUGCCUGCUACAUGGAGGACAGAGGUCACAACAACAACUGAUCCAUUGCCUCACCUGUAAAAUAGGGAUUUUGACAAGGACCACAUCGAGUUAUUGUGAAGAGUAAAUAGAUGAUUAUAGAAAACAUGUCACACAGUGCUAGGCACAUAGCUGAAGCUUAAGGAAUAGCUGUUGUCCCGUUUCCAAGGUUGCAGAGUCAGAAGACACCCCUAAGAAGACAUAAAGUACUGUUGUUCAGAAGGAAGGCAUUGGGAAAGUCAAAAGGACACCAGAAAUAGUGAACUCAACAUUCAUUUGCACAUUUGACCAAGCUGGAGCAGUGGAAAGAGAACUAUGCACAAGGAUGAGGAGAAUAAUUGUGAUUGUGGGACAGGGCCCCAGUAGAGAGGUAUAGCAGACUGGCCUUGGAAAGCCUGCAGCUGCAUCAGGAAGGCAAAGCAUGCUUGGAAAAAAUGCUGACUGAAGUAAGGCAGAACCUGGAGGGUGGGUGGAUACCUCCAUAACUGUAUUCACAUUGGGCACUCUCUUGUUGUAAAGCCUUUGCAUAAGUGCAACAAAAUCAUGCAUAAUAUGUGCAAACUAUGUGAAGAAAAGUACAAGUUAAUAUGAUCACAAAAAUAUUCAGAAAAACACAGAGUGAAGGAGGUAAGACAAGAGGUAAUGAAAUAAUUAGUGAAGUAUGGGCUCCUGUGCAAGGGAAUAUCUUGAGACAGAUUUUUGAAGAGAAGUUAUAUGUGGGCUGAUGAAGACGAACUGUCACUCCACAUUGAGGGAGUGGUCUCUGCAAAGGUGGUAGCUUAGCUUGGGUUCCUAAGAAAAGAGUCUGAGGUUAAUCUUAUGAGCACAUGCUUUAUUGUAGAGUACAAGUCCAGAUAAGCAAGUGUGACAAAAAAGGAAGGAUAGGAAACAAAAAGUCAUGUUAUUGAGCUCUGGUUAUAGGAAAUUUAAAUGGUUACUCAGUUACACUGAACAUCUCCAGAGAGAUUCAUGAAUUCACGGCACCUUAGAAAAAUUCUUUGGUGGAAAGAAGGGCGAAGAAUCUAUCUACUGGCUUCUUUCCAUCUCCUGUUUCUCAUGCCUACUUGACCUAACAAAGUGUUAACUUGCACAUCUUCCCUCCAGACAGCUGCUGGGUUAGUAACUAACUCCAACUUAGUUACUGGAGCUGCUGCUGUUUCUGCUGUGAUGAGAGGAAAGCCUUCUGUAUCCCUGCACACUUUAAGCAGGUAAAUGUUAGAUUGCUGCAUCAGCUCCUGGACUCUGCAUAACUUCUGACGUCCUUCUGGUAAACCUUGAUCCUUUAUUGCAUCAUGUGACCUCCUCUCCCCCAGCUCUAGCUCUGCCUAGCAGGUGCUGCAGCAAUGACUCAACGCAAAGCACCCCCAUGAGGAAUCCUAGCUGCCAAAACACCAGAACCUGUGUAUGGGUGUCUACACCAGAACUCUGGGAAUCAUUCUUGAUAGUUUAUUUCUAUUUACCAAGCAUAU